rnacentral:rRNA from 1 species
UACGUAGGGUGCAAGUGUUGUCCGGAAUUAUUGGGCGUAAAGAGCUCGUAGGCGGUUUGUCGCGUCUGCCGUGAAAGUCCGGGGCUCAACUCCGGAUCUGCGGUGGGUACGGGCAGACUAGAGUGAUGUAGGGGAGACUGGAAUUCCUGGUGUAGCGGUGAAAUGCGCAGAUAUCAGGAGGAACACCGAUGGCGAAGGCAGGUCUCUGGGCAUUAACUGACGCUGAGGAGCGAAAGCAUGGGGGAGCGAACAGG